rnacentral:rRNA from 1 species
GUAGGUGGCAAGCGUUGUCCGGAAUUAUUGGGCGUAAAGCGCGCGCAGGCGGUUCUUUAAGUCUGAUGUGAAAGCCCACGGCUCAACCGUGGAGGGUCAUUGGAAACUGGAGAACUUGAGUACAGAAGAGGAAAGCGGAAUUCCACGUGUAGCGGUGAAAUGCGCAGAGAUGUGGAGGAACACCAGUGGCGAAGGCGGCUUUCUGGUCUGUAACUGACGCUGAGGCGCGAAAGCGUGGGGAGCAAACAGGAUUAGAUACCCUGGUAGUCCACGCCGUAAACGAUGAGUGCUAAGUGUUAGGGGGUUUCCGCCCCCCUUAGUGCUGCAGCUAACGCAUUAAGCACUCCGCCUGGGAGUACGGCCGCAAGGCUG